rnacentral:rRNA from 1 species
CAAAGGUGAGCCAGUACAGGAUGGACCCGCGUCUGAUUAGCUAGUUGGUAAGGUAACGGCUUACCAAGGCGACGAUCAGUAGCCGACCUGAGAGGGUGAUCGGCCACAUUGGAACUGAGACACGGUCCAAACUCCUACGGGAGGCAGCAGUGGGGAAUAUUGCACAAUGGGCGAAAGCCUGAUGCAGCAACGCCGCGUGAGUGAUGAAGGCCUUCGGGUCGUAAAACUCUGUCCUCAAGGAAGAUAAUGACGGUACUUGAGGAGGAAGCCCCGGCUAACUACGUGCCAGCAGCCGCGGUAAUACGUAGGGGGCUAGCGUUAUCCGGAUUUACUGGGCGUAAAGGGUGCGUAGGCGGUCUUUCAAGUCAGGAGUGAAAGGCUACGGCUCAACCGUAGUAAGCUCUUGAAACUGGGAGACUUGAGUGCAGGAGAGGAGAGUGGAAUUCCUAAUGUAGCGGUGAAAUGCGUAGAUAUUAGGAGGAACACCAGUUGCGAAGGCGGCUCUCUGGACUGUAACUGACGCUGAGGCACGAAAGCGUGGGGAGCAAACAGGAUUAGAUACCCUGGUAGUCCACGCUGUAAACGAUGAGUACUAGGUGUCGGGGGUUACCCCCUUCG